CGGGUGGAGCCGUCGCAGGUGCAGAUCUUGGUGGUAGUAGCAAAUAUUCAAACGAGAUCUUUGAAGGCCGAAGUGGAAAAGGAUUCCAUGUG
rnacentral:miRNA from 1 species